rnacentral:rRNA from 1 species
CGAAUGCUGACAUAAGUAACGAUAAAGCGGGUGAAAAGCCCGCUCGCCGGAAGACCAAGGGUUCCUGUCCAACGUUAAUCGGGGCAGGGUGAGUCGACCCCUAAGGCGAGGCCGAAAGGCGUAGUCGAUGGGAAACAGGUUAAUAUUCCUGUACUUGGUGUUACUGCGAAGGGGGGACGGAGAAGGCUAUGUUGGCCGGGCGACGGUUGUCCCGGUUUAAGCGUGUAGGCUGGUUUUCCAGGCAAAUCCGGAAAAUCAAGGCUGAGGCGUGAUGACGAGGCACUACGGUGCUGAAGCAACAAAUGCCCUGCUUCCAGGAAAAGCCUCUAAGCAUCAGGUAACAUCAAAUCGUACCCCAAACCGACACAGGUGGUCAGGUAGAGAAUACCAAGGCGCUUGAGAGAACUCGGGUGAAGGAACUAGGCAAAAUGGUGCCGUAACUUCGGGAGAAGGCACGCUGAUAUGUAGGUGAAGCGACUUGCUCGUGGAGCUGAAAUCAGUCGAAGAUACCAGCUGGCUGCAACUGUUUAUUAAAAACACAGCACUGUGCAAACACGAAAGUGGACGUAUACGGUGUGACGCCUGCCCGGUGCCGGAAGGUUAAUUGAUGGGGU